UACGAAGGGGGCUAGCGUUGCCCGGAAUCACUGGGCGUAAAGCGCACGUAGGCGGAUUGUUAAGUCAGGGGUGAAAUCCUGGAGCUCAACUCCAGAACUGCCUUUGAUACUGGCGAUCUUGAGUUCGGGAGAGGUGAGUGGAACUGCGAGUGUAGAGGUGAAAUUCGUAGAUAUUCGCAAGAACACCAGUGGCGAAGGCGGCUCACUGGCCCGAUACUGACGCUGAGGUGCGAAAGCGUGGGGAGCAAACAGG
rnacentral:rRNA from 1 species